UGGGGAAUAUUGGGCAAUGGGCGAAAGCCUGACCCAGCAACGCCGCGUGAAUGAUGAAGGCCUUCGGGUUGUAAAAUUCUUUGGACAGGGACGAAGAAAGUGACGGUACCUGUAGAACAAGCCACGGCUACCUACUGUCCAGCAGCCGCGGUAAUACGUAGGUGGCGAGCGUUAUCCGGAUUUACUGGGCGUAAAGGGCGUGUAGGCGGCUAGAUAAGUGUGAUGUUUAAAUCCAAGGCUUAACCUUGGGGUUCAUUACAAACUGUUUAGCUUGAGUGCUGGAGAGGAUAGUGGAAUUCCUAGUGUAGCGGUAAAAUGCGUAGAUAUUAGGAGGAACACCGGUGGCGAAGGCGGCUAUCUGGACAGUAACUGACGCUGAGGCGCGAAAGCGUGGGGAGCAAACAGG
rnacentral:rRNA from 1 species